ensembl:snoRNA
UGUCGAUGAUGAAAAUAGCCAAAUCUGAGCAUCAAAAGAUCUCUUGGUGUCCCUAAUGCAUGAUCUCUAUAUUUCUGAGA